UCUGCGUAUGCGCAUCUGAUGACGUCAUGAAAAGUCCCCUAUAUAGAGAAUAUACACAAAAGAAUGGUGCGGUUUCAAAAGUUAAUAAAAAAAUUAUUUCUCACCUUACACCUACAACUGGACGGAGCUCUUCCCCAUUUUCACAGGAAUGUACGAGUGCUUCUCAAUCGUGUUUUUCCACAGCACUGGAUCGGACGUGCUGCUGCAAAUGAAGACAACAACCUUCUCCCUUGGCCACCCAGUUCGUCAGAUCUUACACCUUGCGAUUUCUUUCUUUGGGGGUUCGUUAAAGACAGCGUUUAUAUACCACUAUUACCCACGUCCAUCCAUGAACUUCAUGAUCGGAUAACGUAUGCACUACAGGCCAUUACAACGGACAUGCUACACCAGGUCUGGGAUGUGUUUGAUUACCGUGUGGAUGUGUGUCGUGUGACCCAGGGUGCACACAUUGAAGGAUUGUAAUUAACACAUGAGAAACGUGGACAGUUGCCGCCGCUGACGGUUUAUGUUGUGCCCGUGUAAGGUGAGAAAUAAUUUUUUUAUUAACUUUUGAAACCGCACCAUUCUUUUGUGUAUAUCUUGUAUCUGAAUCCAUGUUCAGAGAAUUUAAAGCAGCUCCCUACAAUCACUGAGCAUUUUGCCUUUGGUCAGAGAAUUUUUAAAGCCAUGCCCUCACAACUUGUAAUAAGUAUUAUCUGUGCAGCAAAGUUUCUCCAUCUUCGGAUUCAAACAUAUCAGCAAGAGUACUGGCGACUCUUUUUAGAAAGUAAAUUUUAUGUACACCUUUUGCUCUCUGAAUGUAUUAACGUUUCAGUGUUUUGUUCAUAAUAUAAUCAUAUUGGACAUUAAGAGGGUAAAGUUUAUUAUUGAUAACACAUACAAGGAGACCACUGGUGUGAUAUUCUGAAUGCACAUACCCGAUUGAAGGAACGAUGAUUACACAUAGGAGAGCUUUAAUGAGGAAGUAGUGCAUGUAUCCAAUCAAUUUAAACCAUGAACUGCGUGAAAUUUUUAUUAGUAGGUUUAAUUUCAGAAGUAGAGAGUGAGCUUUCAUGCAGCUACAUUUUGUAACACUGGCAGUAAUGAGAAUGUUAGUGCAAAACCUGAACCUGAUUCCAUCUUGACACCAAAAAUGACACUUUUCCCAGCAGAAUGUGUGCAAUUGGGCUGGAGAGGAAUCCAUUCUGUGGGAUCAGGAAUGAUUAAUGAUGGAAACACUAGUUACAUCAAUUCAACACUGCAGAUUGAUCUGCAGCCACCUAUGUUGUAAACAAAUUCAAAUACUUUGAUGAUUACUGAAAUAAACUGUCAAUCUCAUCAAUUAAUAUUUGAGUCACUGGUUUCCAAUAAUGUACUCUUCUCCUGCUCACUGAUGACAGCUUUCAUAUAAAAAUGUGCAUUCCAUCUGGGAUUGGGGUCACAUUUUCUCAGUGAUCUACUAGUAAGUGCAGCCCUGUUCCAUGUCCCAUCAUUUGUUAACUGGCUACAGAGUGAAAGCAGCACCUAAAAUCAUGCACAGCUACCAAUUGGGCAAAGAAAAAAGACUGCAUCGUUUGUGCAAUGGACAAUACUUAUGUCAUCACAAACCAAAUCAGGCCAUUUCUCAUUUAUAGAAGACUGAGAUAAUAGAGAAGUCUGCAGCAGAUGACAGUGAGAGGCCUGGAACUGGUGAUGGAGCUUCAUAUUGAGACAAGACAAAUAACCUCUUCAGUGGUUGGUCUUGGGAACUUCAUGCUACUAACUGAGAUUUGGUUAAUGAUAGGCAGACUGAGAUGGCUGGGACAUGUUCAACGGAAGACUGGUGGAAGGUACCCAAAAAAGGCGCUAAAUGGGCAACCAGGUGGAAGGAGGAGGAUGGGACGACCACGUAUGAGAUGGCUAGAUGAUGUGGGCGAAGAUCUGAGAACCAUUGGAGUAAGAAGAUGGCGAAGGAAGGCAGAGUCAAGGGAUGACUGGAAGACUCUGAUAAGGGAGGCGAAGGUCCUCACAGGACCAUAGAGCCACGGAGGAAGGAAUAACUUGGAAGUGUUAUGCCCCUGCUAUAUUAGUGAGUUUAUGAUUCUCCUCCAUACCAGAUUUCACAUGUCUAGUUCCAGUAGUUCAUUACUGUUGUCACACGGAAAAUCAAAAGAAAUUUUCACAUGGCCGCCAUGUUGUUUUUACAUUCCAGAAAAAUGCCUCAAAAAAGUUGCAUAUUGUUUGAAGAUCUAUUACCAUAUACAUUUGCAUGACUCUGUUUUAAGUAGUGCUAGUGUUGGCCCCACCCUAUUAGUUCGCACACCUGCCAUGUUGUUGUUACUGAUUAUAAGAAAUUAAAAGAUUUGGUAUUGGGGUGGCCUCUAACAGCAUAAAGUUCAUGCCAAAUUUUGUUAAAAUCUAAAGUUGAAAAGGAACACAAAUAUGACAUGGGGAUCUUAUCCAUCUGCGUUUCUUUCUCUUUAAGAAAUAAAAGUAUGCUAAAAAGGGUUCGUAAGCUUAUGUUUCAUUGCCAUUUUGUUUAAACUUCAUCUUUUCUAAAAAAUAUAAACAUAUAACUAUUUCAAAUCCAAGGAAAAACGAAUAAUUAAACAACUUCAAACUUCCCUCCCGCAGUUGAGCACAAGGUGACGUCAUUGUGCAGAUCCUGUCUAUAACGACAGUCAGUUGAGUAGACCUUGUCAAUCUUCCGACCAUUAUACUUUCUCAUUUGUCGGAACUAAUUACGAAGCAACUGCAUGUGUUAAAUAUGAGGUGGGUAUUGACUGUGAUGCCGAAGAAAGACGGUUAAUUUAUAAAUGAUCAAAAUAUUGUUAUUUAUUAUUUAUUUAUUUAUUUAGUGUUCUGUCU